UGGCACAGUGGUUUAUGCAUUUGGCUACUAUCCAAAAGUUUGGCGGUUCGAAUCCACC
rnacentral:tRNA from 1 species